rnacentral:lncRNA from 1 species
UUGGGGUCCGCGGGGUCGGAACUGGGGGAAAACGGUGAGGGGUCGGAUCACAGGGGUCGGGACUGAACUGGAGGUUGAGCGCUUAGACUUGGUAAAGCUGAGACAGGGGAUCAGGGACUCGGAUUAAGAUUAACGUGAAGGAUUUUAGCCGAGGUCGUUACACUUAUGUUUGUGCAUUAAGUUCAUAGGAGUUGUAUUGAAACCUUAGUUGCAUGCUCCCUAGUACCCUAUUUUGAAU